rnacentral:rRNA from 1 species
AAGCUCGUAGUUGAAUUUCGGGGUUCUACCGUUGGUCAGGCAAUAGUCUGUACUGGCGUAUAGAAUUUCUACCUUCUGGGGAACCAUCAUGUUAUUUAUUUAGCGUGAUGGGAAACCAGGACCUUUACCUUGAAAAAAUUAGAGUGUUCAAAGCAGGCUUACGUCUGAAUACAUUAGCAUGGAAUAAUAAAAUAGGACGGUGGUCCUGUUUUGUUGGUUUCUGAAUCACCGUAAUGAUUAAUAGGGAUAGUUGGG